GGCUAUGUAGCUCAGCCGGUUAGAGCGUGGCACUCAUAAUGCCGAGGGUUCGAGUCCACCUAUAGCCACCA
rnacentral:tRNA from 1 species